GAUGAACGCUGGCGGCGUGCCUAAUACAUGCAAGUCGAACGCUUGAGAUCUAGCUUGCUAGAUCGAAGGAGUGGCGAACGGGUGAGUAAUACAUAAGCAACCUACCCACGAAGACUGGGAUAAUCUCUGGAAACGGGGACUAAUACCGGAUAGGUAAUCGGAAGGCAUCUUCUGGUUAUUAAAGGUUAAAAACACUGGUGGAUGGGCUUAUGGCGCAUUAGUUAGUUGGUGAGGUAACGGCCCACCAAGACGAUGAUGCGUAGCCGGCCUGAGAGGGUGAACGGCCACAUUGGGACUGAGACACGGCCCAGACUCCUACGGGAGGCAGCGGUAGGGAAUUUUCGGCAAUGGGGGCAACCCUGACCGAGCAACGCCGCGUGAGUGAAGACGGCCUUCGGGUUGUAAAGCUCUGUUGUAAGGGAAGAACGGUAGAUAGAGAAUAUCUAAGUGACGGUACCUUACCAGAAAGCCACGGCUAACUACGUG
rnacentral:rRNA from 1 species